rnacentral:lncRNA from 1 species
UGGGGCUGGUCUGCGCGUCAGGCCUGCGGGUGUCUGCAUAUCUGAUAGAGAAGCUCUUCCCGGCGUCGCGGGGGCUCGACUUCCUGCUCUGUAGGGUAGAGGGCUUUCUAUGAAGGAAAUCAGGAGAUCACUUCCAAGAUGGAAAACCCCUCAGAUUCAGCAUCCACUUCACCUGACAUUCCUCAGACCAGUGAGAAUCCACCAUCACCCCCAACCUCACCUGACAAGCCUCAGACCAGUGAAAAUCCACCAUCACUCCAUUCGAAUAGUUCAGGAAAACAACCUAUGAGUGGGACACUUAAAGAAAGAUUAAAGAAAGCAAGAGCUUCAUCUCAACCUUUUUGUAGUGUGGUGAAGCGUAUUAAGGUAGAGAAUGAAGAAAAUGAUCAGACCCUUUCAGAACCAGGAGAAUCUUCAAAAGAAGAAAACUGUUCAAAAGCCCAAGAAAGCCUGGAAAACAAAGACAAUGAACCUGAAAAAGAGAGCUCAGAGGAUAAAAAUACGAGUGAAUCUAAGUCACUUGAUACUGGGUCAUCCAGUGUCCUCCAAAAAGAUUCUACUGAGAAGACUAUAAAGCAAACUUUGAAGGAAGAAAAAGCAAAACUGACUAGGCAGGUUCAAGAGAAGGAAGACCUUCUUCGGAGGUUAAAGUUAGUCAAAAUGUACAGAAUAAAGAAUGACGUGACUGAGUUAGAGGAUUUAAUAAAGAAGUGGAGGAGGUGUGGCCAGCGGCUGCUGUGCGAGUUGCAGUCAAUCAUGUCCGAGGAUGAGGACGAGAAGCUGACCCUCACUGAGUUGAUCGACUACUAUGGGAUAGACGACAAAUUGCUGCACUAUAAUAGAACUGAAGAAGAGUUCACAGGGGUUUGA